UGAAAUGUUGGGUUAAGUCCCGCAACAGAGCGCACCCUAUCCUUUGUUGCCAGCNGUNCGGCCGGGAACUCAAAGGAGACUGCCAGUGAUAAACUACGUCAAGUCAUCAUGGCCCUUACGACCAGGGCUACACACGUGCUACAAUGGCGCAUACAAAGAGAAGCGACCUCGCGAGAGCAAGCGAACCUCAUAAAGUGCGUCGUAGUCCGGAUUGGAGUCUGCAACUCGACUCCAUGAAGUCGGAAUCGCUAGUAAUCGUGGAUCAGAAUGCCACGGUGAAU
rnacentral:rRNA from 1 species